UGGGGAAUAUUGCACAAUGGGCGCAAGCCUGAUGCAGCCAUGCCGCGUGUAUGAAGAAGGCCUUCGGGUUGUAAAGUACUUUCAGUCGGGAGGAAGGUGUCAAGGUUAAUAACCUUGGCAAUUGACGCUACCGACAGAAGAAGCACCGGCUAACUCCGUGCCAGCAGCCGCGGUAAUACGGAGGGUGCAAGCGUUAAUCGGAAUUACUGGGCGUAAAGCGCACGCAGGCGGUUGAUUGAGUCAGAUGUGAAAUCCCCGGGCUUAACCCGGGAAUUGCAUCUGAUACUGGUCAGCUAGAGUCUUGUAGAGGGGGGUAGAAUUCCAUGUGUAGCGGUGAAAUGCGUAGAGAUGUGGAGGAAUACCGGUGGCGAAGGCGGCCCCCUGGACAAAGACUGACGCUCAGGUGCGAAAGCGUGGGGAGCAAACAGG
rnacentral:rRNA from 1 species